rnacentral:tRNA from 1 species
UAUCGUACGGUUUAGUGGUAAGGGUGUCCGUCUUCCAGACGGAAGACCCAGGUUGGAUUCCUGGCAUGUUUG